GGAGCAUGUGGCUUAAUUUGACUCAACGCGGGAAAUCUUACCGGGUCCGGACACACUGAGGAUUGACAGGUAACGUUAUACACACAUAUAUUUACUCUCGGGUAUUUAUACUGCUGUGUAUAUAUAAAAUAUGCUAGUCCUUUCAUGAUUAUGUGAUAGGUGGUGCAUGGCCGUUCUUAGUUCGUGGAGUGAUCUGUCUGCUUAAUUGCGUUUCACUAAGGAUCUAUAUUCAUAUUACGCAUAGCAUUUUGACCCCUUUAUGCUUCGGUAUAAAGCUGCGCGUCAAACCUUGCUAUCUGCGUAUAUUAGAUCCUGAAAGCAACGAACGUGACCGCAACCUCUUGUUGCCUUUAACUAGGUUUUGCUUACGUAUAGCUUCGGCUUUACGCUUUGCAUCUAAAAAGGCUGAUUUUCUAAACUAGAGGGACCGCUGUUACUUUCUUAAACCAGAGGAAGGUUGCGGCAAUAACA
rnacentral:rRNA from 1 species